ACCAAACUAUUAUAAAAAUACAGUAAACUAAACUUCUAAAAAUAACAACUCUAAUAAAAUACAGCUGUUAUUUUAUAAGAGUCUAUUUGUGUUUCAAUGUUUCAUGAUUGAUCUUACUAUGUACCUAAAUAAAAUGUAAAAAAAAUAUGUUAACAGUGCAUUAUGAUGUAGUACUUAUAUUGUAAUUAGGCAAAUGUAUAUUAAAUUACACACACAUAUUUUACAUUUAUGUGAUAAAAAAACAUUACGUACAUGUGUGCAAUUUAAUGUUAUAAUAUACGAAUAACAUGUUAUUAUGAAAAAAAUUAUACAUAAUUAAACACUGUAUAAUAGUCAGUAAAAGAGAACAUUGAUUAACACUAAUCAUCAGCUCUUUGUGUACAGCACAGCAGGAUGAAGGUGAAUGUCAUCUUCCAGGCAAGAUAAAAGUGUUUAAGGAAAGACCAACUGCAGCAGUGCCUAACUCGGAAAAAGAGCCAACGUCUGUGAAACUUGGUUCUUUGGCCUUGCAGCAUCUGCCUCUCAUCCUCCAGAAGUUGAGGAGUGUGAAGAAUUGGGGAGGAUGAUGCUACCCACAAAUUCAUCUAAAAGCCCAACUGAAUUCAGAAGUUGUUGGAAUCCCAGUGGUCAAAGGUCUUAUUCCUUCUGCACACUAGGAAUGAUUCUGACAUGAAUCAGGAUUAUCUUUUCUACAUUCAUUUGUUGCUGUUUGUUGGUUAGGCCAUGUUCAGGCCUGUUCUAAUUCUUGUGUCAAUUGUUCUAACAUUGAAAAUAUUUAUAUAUCAGUACAUAUAUAUAACUACAGAGUUCGUGAUUUGCAUGUUUUUUUUUGCAUGUUAUUCUUUAAAAGUUUGAUAUGCACAUGAUUUACAGAUGCAUGAAGCUGUAGAGUACUCAUGUACUGUAGAUCAUACCACAUCAUACCACACCCCUAAUAUUAUAAAGAUUCUUAACAUGUGUUCUAUGGGUUUGCAUGCAUUUACAUUACUAUUAAUUAACACAUUAACAUUUUUCUGUGUUAGGUAGGCAUAAACCACCAGCAACUCUCUCAAAACCAGACAGGCCUGAUGAACAUAGUGCUACUUCAUCUCCACGGGAGUGAGGGUUCCUUUGCCAUUACCUCCAGAGUUGUUAAAUUAUCUACAAGCAAGACCACAUCGCCUUUGACACCAGUGAAUGAAACCGUUUUCUGUCAGUUGACCUCUGCACAGUCUACAGACUCUACUCCUCCCUGCAGCUGCUGUCCAGUCUUUCUCAGGACUCCCUGCAGCCUAUUCUGGGUACCCCUCAACUCAAAGUGACUGCCCUCAUGUCUCCUGUUUCUGAAUGUAUGCAUUGUAAUUAUUGUAUCAUAAAAAUAUAACUCUGUAUUUUCAUUGUUAUGGAUAUCUGUUACAUGCAGAAACCACUGUGGUAGUUUAAUACUUUUGGCACAAUCCUAUUUAUAACUGUACUGUAUACAUGCACAUGGGCAGUAGGACCAUCUGUGUUUAACUGAAAAAGUACUGUGUAGCCUUAUUAAGCCUGUUUCUGUUUCUUAAAACUGUCACUUAAUUUCAAAGAUUGAUUAUUUAUUUUGGUCAUCUUGAGAUAUUUCCAGUAUGUGUUCAUUCAAUAUAAUUGCCUUUGUUCACAUUUUUGUGCACUUAACAUGUUUAUAUUGUUGUGGUAGAAUGAUUGUCUUAUAAAA